UACGGGGGGGGCAAGCGUUGUUCGGAAUUACUGGGCGUAAAGGGCUCGUAGGCGGCCAACUAAGUCGGACGUGAAAUCCCUCGGCUUAACCGGGGAACUGCAUCCGAUACUGGAAGGCUCGAGUUUGGGAGAGGGAUGCGGAAUUCCAGGUGUAGCGGUGAAAUGCGUAGAUAUCUGGAGGAACACCGGUGGCGAAGGCGGCAUCCUGGACCGGCAUUGACGCUGAGGCGCGAAAGCCAGGGGAGCAAACGGG
rnacentral:rRNA from 1 species